rnacentral:rRNA from 1 species
AGCAGUCGCCGCGGUAAUACGAAGGGGGCUAGCGCUGUUCGGAUUUACUGGGCGUAAGGGGUGCGUAGGCGGACUGAUAAGUCAGGGGUGAAAUCCCAAGGCUCAACCUUGGAACUGCCUUUGAUACUGUUAGUCUUGAGUUCGAGAGAGGUGAGUGGAACCGCGAGUGUAGAGGUGAAAUUCGUAGAUAUUCGCAAGAACACCAGUGGCGAAGGCGGCUCACUGGCUCGAAACUGACGCUGAGGCACGAAAGCGUGGGGAGCAAACAGGAUUAGAUACCCCAGUAGUCCCUGUCUCUUAUAC